AGGUAUCAGAAGUGCGAAUGCUGACAUAAGUAACGAUAAAGCGGGUGAAAAGCCCGCUCGCCGGAAGACCAAGGGUUCCUGUCCAACGUUAAUCGGGGCAGGGUGAGUCGACCCCUAAGGCGAGGCCGAAAGGCGUAGUCGAUGGGAAACGGGUUAAUAUUCCCGUACUUGGUGUUACUGCGAAGGGGGGACGGAGAAGGCUAUGUUGGCCGGGCGACGGUUGUCCCGGUUUAAGCGUGUAGGUGUGUGUUCCAGGUAAAUCCGGUUCACUUUAACACUGAGGCGUGACGACGAGGCACUACGGUGCUGAAGCAACAAAUGCCCUGCUUCCAGGAAAAGCCUCUAAGCAUCAGGUAACAUCAAAUCGUACCCCAAACCGACACAGGUGGUCAGGUAGAGAAUACCAAGGCGCUUGAGAGAACUCGGGUGAAGGAACUAGGCAAAAUGGUGCCGUAACUUCGGGAGAAGGCACGCUGACACGUAGGUGAAGUGAUUUACUCAUGGAGCUGAAGUCAGUCGAAGAUACCAGCUGGCUGCAACUGUUUAUUAAAAACACAGCACUGUGCAAACACGAAAGUGGACGUAUACGGUGUGACGCCUGCCCGGUGCCGGAAGGUUAAUUGAUGGGGUCAGCGCAAGCGAAGCUCCUGAUCGAAGCCCCGGUAAACGGCGGCCGUAACUAUAACGGUCCUAAGGUAGCGAAAUUCCUUGUCGGGUAAGUUCCGACCUGCACGAAUGGCGUAAUGAUGGCCAGGCUGUCUCCACCCGAGACUCAGUGAAAUUGAACUCGCUGUGAAGAUGCAGUGUACCCGCGGCAAGACGGAAAGACCCCGUGAACCUUUACUAUAGCUUGACACUGAACAUUGAGCCUUGAUGUGUAGGAUAGGUGGGAGGCUUUGAAGUGUGGACGCCAGUCUGCAUGGAGCCGACCUUGAAAUACCACCCUUUAAUGUUUGAUGUUCUAACGUGGACCCGUUACCCGGGUUGCGGACAGUGUCUGGUGGGUAGUUUGACUGGGGCGGUCUCCUCCUAAAGAGUAACGGAGGAGCACGAAGGUUGGCUAAUCCUGGUCGGACAUCAGGAGGUUAGUGCAAUGGCAUAAGCCAGCUUGACUGCGAGCGUGACGGCGCGAGCAGGUGCGAAAGCAGGUCAUAGUGAUCCGGUGGUUCUGAAUGGAAGGGCCAUCGCUCAACGGAUAAAAGGUACUCCGGGGAUAACAGGCUGAUACCGCCCAAGAGUUCAUAUCGACGGCGGUGUUUGGCACCUCGAUGUCGGCUCAUCACAUCCUGGGGCUGAAGUAGGUCCCAAGGGUAUGGCUGUUCGCCAUUUAAAGUGGUACGCGAGCUGGGUUUAGAACGUCGUGAGACAGUUCGGUCCCUAUCUGCCGUGGGCGCUGGAGAACUGAGGGGGGCUGCUCCUAGUACGAGAGGACCGGAGUGGACGCAUCACUGGUGUUCGGGUUGUCAUGCCAAUGGCACUGCCCGGUAGCUAAAUGCGGAAGAGAUAAGUGCUGAAAGCAUCUAAGCACGAAACUUGCCCCGAGAUGAGUUCUCCCUGAGACUUAGAGUCUCCUGAAGGAACGUUGAAGACGACGACGUUGAUAGGCCGGGUGUGUAAGCGCAGCGAUGCGUUGAGCUAACCGGUACUAAUGAACCGUGAGGCUUAACCUUACAACGCCGAAG
rnacentral:rRNA from 1 species